rnacentral:rRNA from 1 species
AUUGAACGCUGGCGGCAUGCCUUACACAUGCAAGUCGAACGGCAGCACGGGAGCAAUCCUGGUGGCGAGUGGCGAACGGGUGAGUAAAGUAUCGGAACGUGCCCAGUCGUGGGGGAUAACGUAGCGAAAGUUACGCUAAUACCGCAUACGAUCUAUGGAUGAAAGCGGGGGAUCGCAAGACCUCGCGCGCUUGGAGCGGCCGAUAUCAGAUUAGGUAGUCGGUGGGGUAAAGGCUCACCAAGCCGACGAUCCGUAGCUGGUCUGAGAGGACGACCAGCCACACUGGGACUGAGACACGGCCCAGACUCCUACGGGAGGCAGCAGUGGGGAAUUUUGGACAAUGGGCGAAAGCCUGAUCCAGCCAUGCCGCGUGCAGGAUGAAGGCCUUCGGGUUGUAAACUGCUUUUGUACGGAACGAAAAGGUUUGGCCUAAUAAGCUGAGCUCAUGACGGUACCGUAAGAAUAAGCACCGGCUAACUACGUGCCAGCCGCCGCAGUAA